rnacentral:rRNA from 1 species
UACGGAGGGUGCAAGCGUUGUCCGGAAUCACUGGGCGUAAAGGGCGCGUAGGCGGCUCAUGAAGGCUGUGGUGAAAGUCCGGGGCUCAACCUCGGAUCGGCCGUGGCGACUCGUGGGCUGGAGCACUGUAGAGGCGGGUGGAAUUCCGGGUGUAGCGGUGGAAUGCGGAGAGAUCCGGAAGAACACCAGUGGCGAAGGCGGCCCGCUGGGCAGUGGCUGACGCUGAGGCGCGACAGCGUGGGGAGCAAACAGG